CUCCGGGACGCGGGCGGCGGUCCCGGGACCCCCGCGCUGUCUGGCCCUGCCGCCCCUCCGCGGCUGCCGGGGGGCACCUGCCCGCACCCCGGUGCCUCCAGUUCUGAGUCCUUUCCUCAGCCGUCCCUGGCAGUAUUGCGUCCCUGGCCGGCCGGACCCCGCCAGCCUCUCCGUGUUCCUGGUCGCCAGGAUCUGCCCUUAAACCUUUGCCCUCUCAGAGGCUCAUUCCCUUCAGGGCUGGGCUUUCCGCAGCCCUUCCAGCACAGCCUCCUUUCCGCGUGUGUGUCCCCCCCUGUCCCGGGGCUCCUUCCAGGUGUACGGGGGUUCGGUGUCUUUAUCUCGGCCGGGUACAGCCGGACAUUGAAGGAAUGUGUCCUAGCGAUAAAGCGUCACUACAACCAGAGGUUUGUCUCGAACUGUGUUCCCUCUUGUAAACACGGCAGAAUGGCAACGUUGGUGCCACCGCUCUAUUUUGGAAACACGGACAAGUUCUGGCUGUUAACUCUUCCGCUCCCACGCCGGUUUUCUUUGACCUUGUGUGCCAGUGCUGUCGAGAUGAAAGCAGACAAAGGUGUUUGAGGGUGGCUUUCUCUAAUUUGCUCUUAAUAUUCGAGAAUUCAGCUUGUUUUAAUUGCUGUAAUUUGUGAUGUUAAAUUGUCAGAAAACCUUCUGAUCUGUGUGUGAUGCAGAGAAAGGGGCAGGUGUAGCGUUUGGGAUACCUGUGUUGUGGCAGCCUUUACCCUUGAUGCUUCAGGAAAUAUCGCCAGCAAAACUUACCUUUAUAGCUUAGUUAGGCUUGAAGAAGUCAGAAACCAGCCUAUUUUAGACUGUCUUUUCCUAAUAUAUUGCUUUUUGUCGUGAGUUUCUCAUUGUUUUGCUUGGUCUCUGCUACCCUGCCUGUUAACCUUUUCGAAGAGAAGGGGACAGAAAUCUGGACUGGUAUUUGAAAGAAGGCAUUCUGUGCUGAGGGAGUGACAGUAGAUCCAGCAGUUGCUUGUAUUUACCUGAGAAAAGGCACAGGCAUUUAAGAAUGAAACAUGAAUCACAGGCCAUCUUUGGUUCUGAGGAUUUUAAUGCUUAAAAAUGUAUUGUUUGAAAAAAAAUAAAUUCUUUUCUGCUUUUUUGAAGUGAAAGUCCAUAGCAGUUGCAAUUUAAUUACAAUUACCUUGCUAUUCAUUACAGCUGUUUAAAUGUGGACUGUGUCUAGUGUGCAUUCUUAGUUGUGAUUUAGCUGACAUUUAGUGACUGCACUGAAUGCAUUCACCUCCAAAUGAUCUUUGAAGUAAUAUGUAGCAUUCAGACCCAAAGUGAGUUUUCUUGUCUGUAAAACAACAACAGUAAAUGUGAGAGAUAAUUUUGGAGUGGAAAAUAACUGAGACUUCUGAGUGCUAACUUUGAAAGCUUCUUACAGAUUAAAGUUAUUUUGGGGCUUAAGAGAGAUUGAGAGAAGAUUAUUUAUAUGAAUUUAUUAGUUAAGCAGCAUCACCUCUUUUUCUUCUCUCAAUUUUCUCUCCCUUCUUAAAGUUCUGUUUCUUCUGUUGUGAAACAGACCUGAAACAUGAGUAAUCUUUUUUCUUUGUUUUUAAGUUUCAGAAUGGUUUGGAGAAAACUACACAUAAUGUAAUAGGAAGAAAGGCAGUAAAGUAGCAUGGUGUUUCUCUUGAGGAUAUUAAAUUUAUAAUUUUUUUAGGAGAGCUUGUCAUAGACUGCUUGAAAAAUGUUUCAUGAGAGAUUUACAAAGUAACUUUAUGCUAUUUUACAACAUGUGAAAGAGAUAAGAUGUUUGUCAGCAGCAUUAUCAGUAUCAGUCAAUGAUAGCAGCUAAAUAAACAUCUUUUGUGAGUUUAAGCUGUUUAAACAAAGUGAUAAAUAUAUUCAGCCAUAGUGAAGUACUUUUCAAGCAAUAAAACCAAUUUGGUUUCUUCUUAAAAGCAAGGAAAAGAGUCUGCAGGAUGAGAGUAGAAGAAAAACCCUUUGCACAUGGUAACAAUGACACUUCUGGGAGUUUACUUUUAAGCUUUUCUGUUUGGGUUUCCAGUCAUGUUCAUGUAAUGGUCUAGCUUUUGUCAUUCUGCUGUACUUACAUGUAAUUGCAGGAACUUCUUUGUCCCCUCACAACUGAGGAAAGUGGAGAUGUGUGCAUAACCGAGAGGACUGCUGGCCACAGUUCCUUACUGUAACUGUACUUUGCCCAGCUGCAGAAGCAUUUUGAAUCCUCCUGUUCAGGAACCAAUAAUUCCUGCCUUCCACCCACCUGCCCAAGCUAUUCUCAACUCUGCUGCUGGGAGAGGCCAAGUGUUUCGGUCAGGCACAGAACUCCUGUCAUGAUUGCAUUUACACCAUUGGUUCUCAAGCUGGAGCUCGGACUCAAAUGGUGCUGUUGCUCUGCAAGAAAAGGCUUAUGCUCUUCAGGUGGAUUGUUCCAGUUUGAUUGUGUGAAACCUUGUUUCUAAUCAGGGCCUGAAAGUUAGGUGACUUACCUUUCUUUACCUGAAAUGUGCAGGUCUCAGGUUCUGAAUUUGUGAGCCCACGAUGCGGAAGCUGGAGCUUUCAAGAGGAGUGUUGCUAUCAGCCUGUAUAAAAUCUUCAUGUUCUCAGUUUUCUAUUCUUUAUAGGUCUAUUUUUCUUUCAGUGGUAGCCUUUAGACAUAUUUUUUCUUUCUGAGUAUUAACUGGGUACCUAGUAAUCUUUUUGAAGUUUAUUACUAAGGAAAAGAAAGAUCAGGUGAAAGGUUAAGGUGAUCUUGAAACAGAAAAGGACAUGGUAAGACAGGUCUGCAGUCUGCUUCUGAUUUAUUCAUUAAUUCAUCAAAUAAAUAGCCACUUGCAGUGAAAUAUCCAUUGGGAAUAUAAAAUUUGUGACUGGAAGCAUGUUAAUUUUCAGAAAAAUAAAAUAGGCUCUUUGAUCCCUUCAGUUUCAUGUGAUUGGGAUGGAGCUUUUGCCUGAGCAAGGCAUUCAUAACUUACUACCCUUUUUAGCUUUGCCUCAUUCAGUGGAAAAAGUGAAGGAAAGCUCAGUGCUGAGCAAGCUGAAGAGAUGGACUGAGACACAGAAGUGUGGGUUGUGUUAAUUUUUAACAUGCUUUUGGUUAGUAUCCAUGCUUAGUGCCUUCCCAGUCCCCAGUGCUAGCUAACUUUUAAUUAUGUAUUAAUAAUCACUAAUCUUGCUUAACAGUUAGAAUGCUCAGAUAUCCAGAUUUUUAUUUUAUUCACUGCUGGCUUCAUAAACACUUGAAUGUAUUAACACUUGUUGCUCUGAAUAUUCCUCUUGUACUUUUCUGACACCCUGAGGUUUUUGCUCUGUCAGUGUUGCUGUUUUCAUCUAUUUGUAAAGGAGAUAGAUGGAGCAAGUUUGUUCUUUAUAAGGAUUCGUCACCUGUAAAGUUUUUUCUUUUACUUUGGCUUAUCAGAGCCUGAAUUAAAUGAUCUGUGGAUCACUCUGAUUAAUUUCUCUUAAUAAAGCUUGUAUCUACAAUUGUAUGUGCCUUGUAUAUGUACAUGUGUAUUUCUGACUGCUGUAAGUAUAUCGUUUCAGAGACUAGAUAAGAAAUGUGUUGACCAAUAUAUAAAAAUGUUCUUAAAAUGGUAAUGUAUUUGGCCUAAUCUUUAACCUGGCUUGCUAACUUCUGUGAAAGUGGUGAGCUGCAUAUUUUCACCAGGUUUUACCUCAACACCCUUUACUGUCUGUUCAGAUUAAAACUUCCUGGGCGAUCCGGCAUGUGAAGGGCACUUUAUAAAGAAAA